AUUAUUUUUAGCACAACUUACACUUUAUACGCUAUAAAGGUAUCAAAAAAAUGUUUUAUUUGUUACUUGUAACUAUGACUAAAACUCUCAAGAAGUUUGUAUACCCUUUAAUUUUAUUUCUUUCUCUGUUUUUCGUUGCAAAGAGCGUUGAAAUUGGGGCCUUAGUAGAAUGUAAAGUGGCUGCAGAUUGUCCACGAGUUAAUGGUCUUCUGAAAAUGAGGUGCAUUCGCAGCAAAUGUGUCUUUAAUGUUGGAAGAAAAAAAAUUUUGAAUGAGUAUCAAAAACAAGAGAGUACACUUACUUCAUGUAAGGGAGAAUAAUUUUUUUAAGCUAGAAAAAAUAUAUUAAUAUAUAUUUUGCUAGAAUAAUUCAUGACUUUGUACUCUAAGAUGUUAGUAAUAAAAUGAAACAUUGAAAUAAAGCAUAUUAAAAUAAGAUUUUUUUUCUCUCUUUGAUUGAGAUGUAUUGUGUUAGAUUCAAGCUAGGCUAAAUUUAGAUUAAAAAGACAUAAAAAGAAAUGGACAUUAAACAAACUUCAUACUUUUUUCAUACCUCUUGAAAGAGGAGAAUUACAUUUAAAUAGCUAGGGUUUAAGACUAACUAAUGGGCCAUGGGCCAGAUCCGAAAAUAAAGACUAAAAGGAUAAUAAAAUUUACUAACAGCACCUCCUAAUAAUAAUAGAAGUCCUUUAAUAAAACUGAAGUCUUUUUAAUUCUAUUGGGCCUACUGCACUUCUUAUCAAUACCCAUUUCCUCUUGAAGAACCUUGUCCUCAAGGUUCAUUAUUGAAAAAGGAUUCAUGUCGUGUGGGCCAGCAGAGAAGGACUUUGUAAUUGGGCUCAUGGUGUGUGGGUCAGCAGAUGGGGACUUUGUAAUUGGGCUUGAAGGAGAAAAUUUGGAUGAAGAUAAGGACGAUUCUUUAGGAUUUGAAUUUUUCUGCAAAGUAGUGUUGGGAACACAAGCUAUCACUUGGGGGGAUUGCGUUAUCGAGGCGCAUGGGCGGUGGAGUGUUGGAAGGAUUUGCUUUGGUGGAGGACAGCUGGAGACUGGAUGGCGUUGGAUGAAAAUCUAACGGUGGGGAGUGUUGCACCGUGUGACCGUUAGGUAAAGUGGGGAACAGCUGUGUGCAUGGAAAAUGGGGAAACGUGGAAGUACUUGAUGGUUGUUUGUUGUCAUUUGGAUUUUGACAAGUAGGUUUAAUAGAUACACUUAAGAUCUUGUGUGGUUUCAAAACCGAAGUAUCAUUCUCCUUUUUAUUUAUUCCCAACUCAACUAUGCUCUUUCUCAUUUCUUCCACCUUCCGUUUCUCAUUUUCUCCCUCCCUUCUCACCGAGAUUCCACAACUCUUAUCACUUAUCUCAUCUGGACCCUCAAAUGUUAUCUUCCUUUGUUCUUCCUUUUAUCUCCCUUCUUGAGUGGACGAAAAUGGUUUAGGUUCGCCAAACACUUUUGUUUUCCUCGAUCUCAAAUCUGUUAAUUUUUGUAGCCUGACUGAUGUUGUUUCUUUUGCACAGGUAUCUUCUUUUGUUUCUGAAAAGCUGGAGAUGCUUGUAAGAGGCGGUAGAGGGCGGAAGUCCGUUUCUGGGUUCAUACCGAAGUAAGGCCGUAAGAGAGACACAUGCACCACCGGAUGGAUGCGAGAGGAUGAAGGCAUAUUCAGCAUGUAUGCCACGUUCCCGAUUCACUUGACGAUUUUGAGCAGACCAAAGAAUCGUUGUGCCAACUUCUGUAAAGUGCGUUUGUGGACAGUAUGUUGGAGGUAAGUCUGGAGUUUGAGAAGAACCAGAUCAUUAGGCUGGAAGGUGAAAUCUACUCUUUUAAUAUUAGCCUGUUUUUCCAUUUUCACUCGACGUUUCUGUAGAUUUACUUUUAAUGCUUUCAAAAUUUCUUGGUGUUGUUGCAAGAUCUCCUCCAGAGACUGGUCUUGAAUAGAUCCACUUAAGUAGUCCGAGAUGUUGGGUGGGUCGCGACCAUAAAGGGCUCUAAACGGUGUUGUCUGUAUAGCUGUGUGAAAGGAUGUAUUGUAUCAUUAUUCAGCAAGAUGGAGGAAUUUAUACCAUUUUCCCGGAUGUGUGCUAGCAAAACAUCUGAGAAAUUGCUAAGAAACACGGGAUCCCUGUCUGAGAUGAUUGAUUUUGGGGUGCCGUGAAGACGAGCAAUUUCCACUAUGAAGCGCUGCGCAAUAUCUCGAGCUGUAAACUUUGAAGGUAGGGCAAUGAAAUGUGCUGACUUUGAAAGACGGUCACAAACAACCCAGAUGCAAGUAUGACCGAAGGAGUUUGGUAAAUGUGUGAUGAAGUCCAUUGUGAUAUCUUCCCAAACCUGACUUGGAAUAGAAAAAGAAGCUGAGACACGAGCCAAAGUUGCCUUAACUCCUGAAUGUCCGGCAGUUGGUGUAGCAUGAUAUUCAUGGAGGACUGUGGAUCGUAGCUGAUCUAUUUCAGCUUAGAACUCACGCA